rnacentral:rRNA from 1 species
GACGAACGCUGGCGGCGUGCUUAACACAUGCAAGUCGAACGGUGAAGCGCCUUCCUUUUUGGUGGGUGUGGAUGAGUGGCGAACGGGUGAGUAACACGUGAGUAACCUGCCCCCUUCUUCUGGAUAACCGCAUGAAAGUGUGGCUAAUACGGGAUAUUCUGGGUCUGUCGCAUGAUGGGUCUGGGAAAGAUAUUGUUUCGGUGGGGGAGGGGCUCGCGGCCUAUCAGCUUGUGGGUGGGGGGAUGGCCUACCAAGGCGGUGACGGGUAGCCGGCCUGAGAGGGUGGACGGUCACACUGGGACUGAGACACGGCCCAGACUCCUACGGGAGGCAGCAGUGGGGAAUAUUGCACAAUGGGCGCAAGCCUGAUGCAGCGACGCCGCGUGAGGGAUGGAGGCCUUCGGGUUGUGAACCUCUUUCGCCAGUGAAGCAGGCCUGCCUCGUUUGUGGGUGGGUUGACGGUAGCUGGAUAAGAAGCGCCGGCUAACUACGUG